rnacentral:rRNA from 1 species
GUACCCAGUGGCGGGGGAUAGCUCGGCGAAAGCCGGAUUAAUACCGCAUACGCCCUGAGGGGGAAAGUGGGGGAUCUUCGGACCUCACACCAUUGGAGCGGCCGAUGUCGGAUUAGCUAGUUGGUGGGGUAAAGGCUCACCAAGGCGACGAUCCGUAGCUGGUCUGAGAGGAUGAUCAGCCACACUGGGACUGAGACACGGCCCAGACUCCUACGGGAGGCAGCAGUGGGGAAUUUUGGACAAUGGGCGCAAGCCUGAUCCAGCCAUGCCGCGUGAGUGAAGAAGGCCUUCGGGUUGUAAAGCUCUUUCAGUCGGGAAGAAAAGGCGUCCUCUAACAUAGGGCGUCGAUGACGGUACCGACAGAAGAAGCACCGGCUAACUACGUGCCAGCAGCCGCGGUAAUACGUAGGGUGCGAGCGUUAAUCGGAAUUACUGGGCGUAAAGCGUGCGCAGGCGGUUCGCUAAGACAGGUGUGAAAUCCCCGGGCUUAACCUGGGAACUGCGCUUGUGACUGGCGGGCUAGAGUACGGCAGAGGGGGGUGGAAUUCCA